rnacentral:lncRNA from 1 species
ACUCCAGCCUGGGUGACAGAGCAAGACUCUGUCUUGGGAAAAAAAACAAAGAAGGAAAAAAAAAAGAAUUCAGAGCAAGGAAUUCUCAACAACCAGCCCUGUGAUGGGAGUAGAAACCUUGCAGACGAAAAGAAAGAACAUAUUGUUUUUUAGAGGAACAGUCUGUGAUGUCCUAUGGGUGUUCUCAGGUGAGUGAGGAGGAAGGGGAUCUGAUAUGUAAGUGCCAGCAAAGGCAUGCCUGCUCCUGAGCCAUACAACACCACACAAAGACAGGCUUUACACAUGAAACCAAGGGCCAGGGAGCUGAAGUAGCAGGAUGAGUUAUGUGGGUAGUAAGCAGUGGAGCAGGGAUAAGAACAAAGGCCUGACUCCAACAUUUAUGCUCUUUCUACUAUACUGUUCCACCAUUAAUUCCACUUCCAGAACUAAGAAAAUAAGUGUUUACUUCAGUUCCCGUAAGAGACAUUGCUUUCUUCCCCAACUUUCUUGCUUUGUUUCUUCCUCAUGUAUCCCUCAGGACCAAAGAUAAAUGGAAAAACAGGAGUGGGAGGUAGAAAAAGGAAUAAAACAAAGAACUGACAUCCCAAAUCCACAAAACACACCUACGAUGACACACACACAAAACCCAAAAUUAAAACAAAGGAGAGAAUUAAGCAAUUUACAGAGGAAAACCCAAAUGGCCAGUAAAUAUAUGAGAUGUUCAGCCUCAGUAAUAAUUAGGAAAAUACAAGCAAAAACCACAAUGAGAUCCAGCUUCACACUAUCUGACUGGUAGUGGGAAGGCUGAAUGGACUAGGAUGGUACCUGUGGGAAGAAACUUUGAGGAGACAUUUGAAGACAGACUUCACUGGAUUUGCCAACUAGUCAACCAGUGGCAGGUGGAAAGAGGGAGUUAAAAAUUAUUCUUAGAUUUCCAAUGAGGAUGACUGAAAGAGCAGUGAUGCCAUGAACAGAAAUAGGGAAGUUAUAAGCAGAGAAAGAUCAUGAGGCUUAGACAUCACCGGCCCCCGAAGGUGAGAAGAAGGAAUUGCUGGUAUGGAGUAUAAGACCUUCAACAGCAUGGAGCUGCUAUUUCACCGGCAGGCUGUGCUGCGCUAGUGCCCAGCUGCCUCUGAGGAAAGGUGCAGAUGAAUCAAAAAGAGCACGGGUGUGGCCUGGUACCUCUUUUUUAAUACUUAGAUUCUUUUGAGCAAUGUGUGCAACUUCUAACUUUUUAGAACAUCAACACGCGCAUUUUGACCCCAAAUCCACUUUUUACUGAAUCAGUUUCUGCUUUGAGACAAAGGUAGUCUCCACUGGUGCUCCUGUAAACCUCCCCGGCCUCCCUGCUAAGCUGUCUGAACCCUGCACAAGACCUGAGGCUGUUUGCCUGCUGUGAACAAGCUCUUCUGUUUUCAGUUCCCUGGUUACAGAAUGUGGUGUCCCGGCCAGGCCCAGCGGGAGAGUGGGAAGAAACACAAAAGAAGGCGGCAGGAUCCCAUGUGUUUCUAAUCCAAAGAAUAUCACUGAUUUGAAUUCAUCACCUCUACUGAUUCCCAUUAAUAAAUGUUAAUGGAAUGGGCAAGGAAAUGAUCCGACCUUUUGAAGAUCCAUGGACUGCAAGCAAAUAUGACGAGUAGGGUGGCUCUACCCUUGAUAAUUUCAAAAGGCACAAGCAAUAAGGGGGUUCAUCUGCAUGACACUGGCCCCUGUGGACAGGAACCUGAAUUCACUCUCAAAAGAAGAAGAUUUGCCAACCUUAUGACUAUUCCAAGAAUUGGCUCCAGGCUUUGAAAGUAACACUACAAGAAGAAUUUCAAAAAGAUUUUGUGCAAUUGCUGCAUUGUUGGAAAAGUUCUUGGGUUCCUUUGGUGACUACUUUUAAAGACACAACAUUCACAUGCUUUUAAAACACAUCAGUCACAUCACUUUAUAGAAACACUCUGUACUUGUGCAAAGAAGAACCCAUCUAUGGUUUUUAAAAAUUGGAAUCCAUGAAUGACUGCUGUGCCAAUUAGGACGUAGAGCUUCAACUGAAAAAAUGAACUUCUCUACUGCUAAGCUGGAGCACAGAUAAAUAUGCAAGUAUCCAAAGAGGUACCUGUGUUUAACAAUACAGAGAAAGCACAAGUGCUUAAUUGACAGCUAAUCUUGUCUUCUACAGAACAUUAGAAAUUCUUUCAAUGUUAGAAUUGUAGAAUGGAAAUAAAUCUUCCUUUUAUGAUUAGAAAACACACACACAAAAGUUAAGAGAGCUACGCAGGGAUGCACAGACUUUAAUGGGAGUUACUUUGUCUUCUGCAUCUUUGCCCUUCGUAAAUCUAGUGAGGUUGUAUAAUCAGUGAUUUUAGGAAGCUGGUUCAGUUUAGACUGCCUGCCUUUCUAUUUUGGCUUCAACACUUUAACAGCUGUUAUGACUUGGGCAAGUCACUGUGUUCCUCCUACAUAUAAAAUGUGAUGGAAAUAGUACCUACCUUAUUAUAUGUAUAUCUGUAAAAGCGCUUUGAAUAGUGUCUAAUGAAUAGCAAUGAUAUUACUUCAUCUUGUCUAAGCUUUGAUAUAUUUUCUGGAGCUACUUAGUUUCUUCUUUGAAAGAAGAUCGAAUCUCAAAACAAAACAUUCCUUUCCUCUCUAUUCCAUUCUCCUUAUGGCAAAGGCUUUAUGUGUUUCAUCCUGGUGAUAUUCAAGACACUUAGCAUGGUACCCAUGGUGCAAAAGUACUUGUAAAUGUCAGCUGAGUACUCAAUCAAAUCCCUCUGUUCAUCAUCAACUGUCAAAUACUGCUUUUCUCUUAUAGCUCAUAUACCAUUUAUUAUUCUGAUGCAAGGUCUGAUAUUUUGUGAUUUUAGAAUUUGAGAAAAGGUGCUGUCAUUCUUUCUAAAAUUUUCAGAAAAGAUCCUGAUCAAAUCGAGAACAUACCUAAGAAAUCUACCAACUUCACAUCAAAACAAGUCCAACUUUAUAUACUAUGGAACUUUGUUAUUAAGGGAGGAAGGGAGAGCGGGAGGAAAAGAAAUAUAUUCUUAACAAUAAAUGUAGGCUCUUUGAGGACCACACUGUAUAUUACACAGAGUAACCUGCAUAAUAUUUAAGGAUUAAAUAGAUCUAAUGAGGUGUUAUUUUCUAAUGAAUUAUAGAAACAAUGUAGUGAUAAUAAAAGUUGUCAUGAUGAAUUGAUAGUUUUUCAUCACUAUCGAUAUAUAGCAAUUCAACUCACAAUACACAUUUCACAGCAAUACACACUAAAGCUUUCAGAAUCAUUUGUAGAAACACAACUGCUUUCAGAUGAUAAUUCUUAAUUAUUAUAAAGGACACAAAAAUUAGCAUACUGUUUUUCUGAGGUUCUUCCUGGUUUUUAACUUACUGCACAAGUUGGGCGUAAUGUGAAAGACAACAAAUAUGGGUAUAAUCAUACACCUGAUAUAUAUGGACUUUAAGAAAACACCAACAUGUAUACACAGAUCAACAUCUCCACUAGGGCUGGUUAUGGUGGCUCACGCCUGUAAUCCCAGCACUUUGGGAGGCUGAGGUG